rnacentral:rRNA from 1 species
CAAAAGCGCAUGUGCUGUGAGCUCGAUGAGUAGGGCGGGACACGUGGUAUCCUGUCUGAAUAUGGGGGGACCAUCCUCCAAGGCUAAAUACUCCUGACUGACCGAUAGUGAACCAGUACCGUGAGGGAAAGGCGAAAAGAACCCCGGCGAGGGGAGUGAAAAAGAACCUGAAACCGUGUACGUACAAGCAGUGGGAGCCCCACCACUAAGCCAGUGGUGAACUCCACAUACGCAUCCUUUGCUGAGGAUGCGGUUAACGGAGCGAAAGCGACGUUCAACCGCAAAAGAAGCAGAGGGGGCUUAGUGGUGGGGUGACUGCGUACCUUUUGUAUAAUGGGUCAGCGACUUAUAUUCUGUAGCAAGGUUAACCGAAUAGGGGAGCCGGAGGGAAACCGAGUCUUAACCGGGCGUUAAGUUGCAGGGUAUAGACCCGAAACCCGGUGAUCUAGCCAUGGGCAGGUUGAAGGUUGGGUAACACUAACUGGAGGACCGAACCGACUAAUGUUGAAAAAUUAGCGGAUGACCUGUGGCUGGGGGUGAAAGGCCAAUCAAACCGGGAGAUAGCUGGUUCUCCCCGAAAGCUAUUUAGGUAGCG